rnacentral:lncRNA from 1 species
UGAUUAUUAGACUAAUUGCUAUAUUGAAUUGUUUAUUUGUGUUUAAUUUAUCUUGCCAAGCUUGUUAAAAGAUCCUUACGUAUUAAUGAUGAUUAUUUGUUGUUAAUUGUUAAGUGAAUUGAGUUAUGUGAACACCUGCUUGAUUACUUGUCUCUUAUGAUUUUGAUGACCAUCGAGAUUAUAAGUCUAGGAAUAACGAAUGUGAAACUAGGAUUAACUUGAGAAUAAGAAAGUUAAUGUGUGAGCCUUGUUUGAUGACCAUCAACAAGAGGUUAAAUUGAAUUAGUAAUUUGAUUAACUAUAUUUACAAGUCUUGCUUGAUACGAACUGAACACUAGGAAGCAUGUUAGUUUAAUUAACUGNUUAAUGAUGAUUAUUUUCUGUUAAUUGUUAAGUGAAUUGAGUUGUGUGAACACCCGCUUGAUUGCUUGUCUCUUAUGAUUUUGAUGACCAUCGAGAUUAUAAGUCUAGGAAUAACGAAUGUGAAACUAGGAUUAACUUGAGAAUAAGUAAGUUAAUGUGUGAGCCUUGUUUGAUGACCAUCAACAAGAGGUUAAAUUGAAUUAGUAAUUUGAUUAACUAUAUUUACAAGUCUUGCUUGAUACGAACUGAACACUAGGAAGCAUGUUAGUUUAAUCAACUGAUCACUGUUUAAAUUGACUUGUUUGCUAAAGGAUUAGUUAUAGUGAACGCGAAUCUAAUCAUUUUAGGAAUCGGUGAACAUGAAUAAAUGAAUUUGUGUAUGCAAUUGUCUAUGUUUUUAAGGUGUAAUUUAUCUAAACCAAAGUACCUGAAGAGAUUUGCUUCCCUGUUAGUUUAUCGAGAGUUGUUAAUUGCUAGUUUGAAAUUUAUUAAACCAUUUUCUUUAUUAUUUUCGUGUGACCUGUAACCUAUAAUCAAAUAUAUUAAAUUAAUCCACCAUUCCCUGUGAUCGACACCCGACUUACCUAAGCUAUACUAUAAUCUGACUAGGUACACUACCUAUAAGUGCAUAGAUAGUCUAAGUCUGUUAGGUUAUAAAUAUUAAAAUUAGUGGGUACUUUUGUGCACAUCACUUACAUUCAGGGAGUUCCGGGCAUGUGGAGCUCCAGAUUACCACGAGGUGUGGGACCCCAUAGCGAGUACUAGAUGGUUGGCGGAUG